CCGGUGUGAGUAGCGAAAGACGGGUGAGAAUCCCGUCCACCGAUUGACUAAGGUUUCCAGAGGAAGGCUCGUCCGCUCUGGGUUAGUCGGGUCCUAAGCUGAGGCCGACAGGCGUAGGCGAUGGAUAACAGGUUGAUAUUCCUGUACCACCUAUAAUCGUUUUAAUCGAUGGGGGGACGCAGUAGGAUAGGCGAAGCGUGCGAUUGGAUUGCACGUCUAAGCAGUAAGGCUGAGUAUUAGGCAAAUC
rnacentral:rRNA from 1 species